GCGUAUUUAUUUGGUUAAUACUGGGGGGGGGGGUAGCUACUCUCGCCCCCCUUUCUCUCUGAAUGCACCGAAAGGAGUGCCAUAUAAUUGUAAUUACUGAUUUUACCUUUCACAGUCAUGAGUUAUGAGUCAUGAAAGUAGAAAAUUAUUUUACAAGGUCAGGGCAGUGCCACAAUAUGAACCAAUGUAUCUGGACUUGCUACCAGGUUUAGACGACUUGAAGUGAGGGUGAAUAAUGCACAUUUUAAACAUAUGGUGAUCCGAACUAUCAACUUUAUGGUUUGAAGAUGACAUGUAUGCAAUGUGUGGUCUGCACUGAUGAGACGUUGGAGGGGCAAGUACUGCACUUGGUUCAGUGCAUAUACAAGAUGGUAGAAAAAAGGGUGUGAUAAUGUAGUUAUAGCUUUGCACGACGAAUAGCAUGAUGUUUGGCCUAUAACUUUGUUCGGUAGGGUUGAGAAAUUCUGAAUGAUUUUCUUGACUGGACAAUAUGUAUCCGUACAAUAAUUGCUCCUUUCUUUGUAUAUAUAUUUGUUUGAUUU